rnacentral:rRNA from 1 species
UACGUAGGGUGCAAGCGUUAAUCGGAAUUACUGGGCGUAAAGCGUGCGCAGGCGGUUUGUUAAGUCCGCUGUGAAAUCCCCGAGCUCAACUUGGGAAUUGCAAUGGAUACUGGCAGGCUGGAGUAUGGUAGAGGAAGGUGGAAUUCCCGGUGUAGCAGUGAAAUGCGUAGAGAUCGGGAGGAACACCAGUGGCGAAGGCGGCCUUCUGGACCAAUACUGACGCUCAUGCACGAAAGCGUGGGGAGCAAACAGG